UGUAAACUCCACAGCAAAAUCAUUUACCGAUGGAAAAAACAAAAAAUAAACCAAAAACAGAAAAGGAAUAGUAGGAAGUGGGUUGAGUAGAAAGAAAUCGAAAGAGCAAUAAAAUAAUGAUAACAUCUUUAAUACACACAAAUCCUAUACAUAUACAUAAUAAAAUAAGUGGGAAUAAAAAGAAUAGGAGUAAUAUAGAAAAGAAAAAUAAAAAAUUAUCCUUGAAAAUAAUCAAAGUUUAAGGAUAUUUGGCGUAUCAAACAGAAACAAAACAGCAACACAAAAAAGGAAGUAAAAAGAACAAGGAGUGUUGUUGUACGGUACGUACUGUUGAUGACGAUAAUUUUCAUAAAAACAUAAAAGAACGAAAUGUCAUUGAAUAUAAAUAGAAAAAAAAGAUUCGAUUAUCGAUUUUAUUUUAUGAUGUCCUCCUAUUUUAAGGAAAUUUUUUAAGUACAAAAUGUAAUAUUUCAACAAAUGUAUGUAUGUGUAUGAUAUGUUUAUAAAGCGUUUGUGCAUGCGGACUGAAUGAAUAAGAAGACAAGUAUUGAGGCAAUGUAUGGCUUUAAGGACAUUUACAACAUAAUAAUAUGGUAUUAUGUAUGAAAAUUACUUUACAUAGAAGAUUAGAUUAUCUUUACGGUGUUAGUAGCCAAGAAUGUGUCACAGGUAUCCGAGUUAUGUGGAUCUUUACAAUAUGUGCAAGGAAUAUAUUAAUAUCUGAGUAUAGGCGGAUCUCUACAAUAUAUGUGCAAGCUGAAUCUGAGCAAAGUGGAUCUCCACAUGUGCAAAAAUUAGAUCCGAGCUAGGUGGAUCCCUAAAACAUUUACAAGAAUUGAAUACGAGUUAGGUAGUUCCCUACAACAUGUGCAAAGAAGGGGUCCAAGCUACGUGGAUCCCGACAACAUAUGCAAUAAUACGAGUUAGAUGGUUCCCCACAACAUUUGCAAGAAUUGAAUCUGAGCUAGGUAGAUUCCUAAACAUAUGCAAAAAUUGGAUCCGAACUAGGUGGAUCCCUAUAGCAAAUGCAAAAAUUGGAUCCAAGUUAGUUGGAUCAAUACAACAUAUGCAAAAAUUGGAUCCGAGCUAGGUGGAUCCCAACAAAAUGUACAAGAAUUGAUUUCGAGCUAGGUGGAUUUCUACAACAUAUGCAUGAAUUGAAUCCCAGCGGGGUGGUUUUCUACAACAUAUGGAAGAAUUGGAUCCGAGCUAGGUGGAUCCCUACAACA